UCUCUGUUAGUAUAUCGGUUAGUACACGCGCCUGUCACAAGGCGAUUUGCCAAGUCCGCGCGAAAGCGGGGUUCGACUCCCCGACAGAGAG